ACUUCCAUUCCAACAUUAUAUUCAUACACCUACUUGCAUUCCAACAUGGAAAGGCCCUUACAGAAAAUUGUUACGGAAGAAAGACGAGCUAGUUACGAAACUUGAAUGCACUAAAGUGACCAUGCAAAAGAAUAAUGGGGGAGAGUCGAUAACCAAUGAAGAACGAACUUUGAUCUGUUCUGAAGCCGAGACCAAAAUAUUACUCAGGGAAUCCGAGGAGAUUAUUGAGGUCUUGAAUGACAACAUGAGGAACAACAAUGAGCCCGGGACGACGGCUUCAUUGUCGGACGAGCUGCGUGCGUUGAUUGAGCUUCUUUACAGUGGUUCUUUGUUCCAAGUAUUGGACGAGGAAGAAGUAGUGGAAUCUGAUAAGCUCAUUGCCAAGGAAAGAGGUAAGGUCAACAGGGAUGAGCAUGAUUUGGCUAGGAUCAUGGAGGUGGUUCAGGAUGUUGUGCCCCAUGUUGCAUCUAAUUUUUGGCUAGCCAUUUAGAGUUAUUUAAUUCUUGUUAUGCAUCUCUGAUGAAGAAAUCAGAGGAUGAAGAGAUUAGAGAACUAAUCCACAUGUUGGUGACAUCGAACCCCUUUUGUACAAGGGAAGCAUUUCAUCGGGGAGAUAAGAGUAAGAAUCAAUGGCUAGGGGGUACCCUUCAUGAAUGGAUUGAAGAUUAUAAAGAGGACGUUGUGAAGACAUUAUCAUUCAAAGCUGGUGAAUCAAAGUUUAAAAAAUCAAGAUUGACAAAUGUCGGAAGACAUAUCAUCAGGUAACUGUUUAUGUUUUCUUGCAACUCUUUAAAAUUUUCCUAAUAUUUAUACUAUUUCCAUGUCUUUUAAAAAUACUAACAAAUAUUGCAUUACAUAUAGGGGUAUAACGAGCUUCAGCGCUUUCAUCUUAAUGGAAUAGCUUUUCGUGAUUUAAAAAGUGAAAAUAUCAUAUUGGACGAGAAGUUAAACGUUGUAACUUUUGAGAGCAUUUAGUGUGGGAGUGGGGAAGCUAAUUUCAAAAUAAAUUGUGUAGCUCUAAAUGCCAUAUUUAGUGAACUCCUUAGAAGCAAUCUAAUUCGCGAUGAUGUUGCUCAUCUAAUGACUUUAUUUGCAAUUAUAACAGGAAAAAUGAGGAUAUUAUUUUUCAUCACUCUUGCCUAUGGACACCGAUGCUGACACUCGAAGCAUUUGGUAUGCUGCAAAUAAUGUACCUGAAGAGUCUAAAGAUUGACAUUUUCACAUAUGCAAGCAUCCAGUGUACAAGAGAGCGCUUAACGCUUGGGUAGAGGAAAUGCGUGAAAAAUCGAGUGCCAAAGAGGAGGAAGGAGAAUCACAAAAACAUCCUAAUUUGUCUUACGUCGAUUCUAAGGAUGUGAAGCUCUUAGGUGGUGCUACAUUGCUCUCAUUUAUGAUAAUGUGCUUCAUCCACAUGUUUCAACAUGCCCGUGCGGAGGAAGAGGCCUGUGCGAAGGCAAGGUCGUUGCGAGCAGUUGAAAAGAAAACGGUGAAGUCAUUUCGAAACAAUAAGCCAUCAAAAAUCAGGACAUGGCAACAAAUAGAG